AUACGGAGGGUGCAAGCGUUGUUCGGAAUUACUGGGCGUAAAGAGCGUGUAGGCGGUCGAGCAAGUCGGUUGUGAAAGCCCCGGGCUCAACCCGGGAACUGCAUCCGAAACUUCUAGACUAGAGUCCCGGAGAGGAAGGCAGAAUUCCCAAUGUAGGGGUGAAAUCCGUAGAUAUUGGGAGGAAUACCAGCGGCGAAGGCGGCCUUCUGGACGGUGACUGACGCUGAGACGCGAAAGCGUGGGGAGCAAACAGGAUUAGAAACCCCGGUAGUCC
rnacentral:rRNA from 1 species